rnacentral:rRNA from 1 species
UACAGAGGGUGCGAGCGUUAAUCGGAAUUACUGGGCGUAAAGCGCACGUAGUCGGCUUUGCAAGUCGGUUGUGAAAUCCCCGGGCUCAACCUGGGAACUGCUUCCGAGACUGCAUGACUAGAGAUCGGUAGAGGGCGGGUGGAAUUUCCGGUGUAGCGGUGAAAUGCGUAGAUAUCCGGAGGAACACCGGUGGCGAAGGCGGCUUCCUGGACUGACACUGACGCUGAGGCACGAAGGUCAGGGGAGCAAACGGG